rnacentral:misc_RNA from 1 species
GAUGAAGAACGUAGCGAAAUGCGAUACGUAAUGUGAAUUGCAAAUUCAGUGAAUCAUCGAGUCUUUGAACGCACAUUGCGCCCCCUGGUAUUCCGGGGGGCAUGCCUGUACGAGCGUCAUUGCUGCCCUCAAGCACGGCUUGUGUGUUGGGCCCCGUCCUCCGAUCCCGGGGGACGGGCCCGAAAGGCAGCGGCGGCACCGCGUCCGGUCCUCGAGCGUAUGGGGCUUUGUCACCCGCUCUGUAGGCCCGGCCGGCGCUUGCCGAUCAACCCAAAUUUUUAUCCAGGUUGACCUCGGAUCAGGUAGGGAUACCCGCUGAACUUAAGCAUAUCAAUAAGCGGAGGA